AUUGAACGCUGGCGGCAUGCCUAACACAUGCAAGUCGAACGGAGGUAGGGGCAACUCUACUUCAGUGGCGGACGGGUGAGGAAUGCGUCGGAAUCUACCCUAUGGUGGGGGAUAACACAGGGAAACUUGUGCUAAUACCGCAUAAUGUCGAGGGACCAAAGCAGGGGACCGCAAGGCCUUGCGCGAUAGGAUGAGCCGACGCCCGAUUAGCUUGUUGGUAGGGUAAUGGCCUACCAAGGCGACGAUCGGUAGCUGGUCUGAGAGGAUGAUCAGCCACACUGGGACUGAGACACGGCCCAGACUCCUACGGGAGGCAGCAGUGGGGAAUAUUGGACAAUGGGCGCAAGCCUGAUCCAGCAAUGCCGCGUGUGUGAAGAAGGCCUGCGGGUUGUAAAGCACUUUUGUUCGGGAAGAAAUCAUGCUGGUUAAUACCUGGUAUGGAUGACGGUACCGAAAGAAUAAGCACCGGCUAACUUCGUGCCAGCAGCCGCGGUAA
rnacentral:rRNA from 1 species